CAACGGGUAAUUGAGGACACACUUCACACAGGGGAGGUCUGACUGUUGGGUAGUUUCAUUCGAACAAACUAAGGGAAUGAAACUACCGAACAAUCAGACGAAUACAAUACAUUUUACACAUAGAGCUUAGCUAUUUUACACGAAUACAUUCCCUUACUGCAUAGACAUUUAGCAAAUAGACGAAUACAGUUUAAACAUAAUGUAAGUCCCAGGGCAGCUCAUGGCCAUACACUACAGACUGAAACUGCGCUUUUCUUAUAUUUUUUAUGUCACCAUUUUUAUGGAACUGGUAACAAACUUUGCGAGAAAAUAAGACAGUUUCCGAAAUUAUAGAGUUAAUGAGAAUCUCUGAAUGGGAGCAGAAUACAUCGAUAUGCCAUGCAUUAUAGAGAAAGCAAGCGAGAGGACAACAUUCCGGUACCUUUAGGUACCGGCACAAAAGAGAGGCAUGGACUGCACACGCUGUGCUGGUGGGCGGCACCAGCGUGUGAUGACGAUCUACACCGAGCAUUCACCCGCCGUUAUAAAGAUAUUUAAACUGACAGAGGGAACCUAAAGUCAUUCACCGAUUUUUAUCCGGCUGAGGAAGCCAAAUUGAUAUUGGCGAAACGCGUUCCGGUUUUUAGCCUAUAUAGGCUGUCUAU